AACUAAUGAGACAAAAACGAAAGAUAAAGACAAACCAACCAAAACAUGCUGAAACAAGUACAACUAAGCAAAAAAUUAAAAAAUAAAUUAAAAAUAUUAUUAUAAUAUGACACAAAAACAAAGCAACAACAGCAAAAAAAAGAAACAGAUAACAACUACAAAUGUAUAUAUAGCUAUACAGAAAACAGUUGGAUCGAUUGAAUGGCUAUUUAAGGUGGCUGGAUAUAUAAAAUUAAAUGACACUGACGUUGCGCGCAAACAAGACGGCAAAACUGUAUGAUGUACGACGAGUACUACGAUGCACGAGCUACGAGUACGGUACAGUAGAUGCCAAGCGAAAUGAUUGCCCCAGAGCAGCUAACGAAUAAGUAAUCAAUUUAGAAUGUUUUUUGGUUUUUUAUCUUUUUUUUUUUUGAAAAUUACUGUACCUUAUAUAUGAUUUGUAUGUAUGUAUGUAUGUAUAGAGAAGGUAUGUAUUUGUGUUGGUAUUGUAAUAUGUAUGGGUUAUGGUUUCAUAAAAUGUAUCUAACUUACUAUCACUCUACUUAUAGCUAUGCGGACAAAAGCGACGGACAGUACGUUGUGCCAUUUGGUAUAGCUGGAUAGCCGGACAGCUGCAGAAUGAGAUAGAAAUGUGAAAAUUUUGCCAUUUUAUUACACGGCAAGAAGAACGAUUUUAAUAUGAUAAUAAUUAUAAUUUAUUAUACCAUUUCGUAUUGGCAAAACGAAUGUGUAGGACGAGGCACAUCAUGGUAUGGUAUUGUAGGGCGGCGGACCAAUAAAGAAGCAAGCAACUAUAUCAUAUAUACAAAGUAUAGUAAGUUAGUUGGUAUACUUACAAGCUACAAUGAUGAUAUGUAAGUAUAGCUAUGGAUAGAGACUGAAUACAUUCUAUUAUGUUAUGGAAAGUGUAGAAGACGACGUGUACAGAGACAGGCAUUGUACAAAGUACAGAUACAGAGCACAAUGUAGUUGAAAGUACGUUGGAGCACAGAGCUCAGAGCUAACAAAUCAAGCAUCCAUAUACGAAGUAGAAGCAGCAGAGAGAAGCGCAAACAAAAACAUACUUAUAGCGAAUCCAGUUGGGUUGGUUGGUUGCUUGCUUGGAUGACGAUGAUGACGACGACGACGACGUUGAAAGUUGAUUGUAAUGGCAGAUAAAUACGAAUACGACUGUGUUGUCGACGACGAUGGUAGAACGACGAUAUGAAACCGACCGACCGGCUUACAGACGACACGAAUGCCGAAACAAAUGUGAGAAUGCUGUUUUGCGACGUAGCAACGUAGCAACGUGGCGGACAUUAAAUGGGAGGCGUUGGCACGCCACUGAUUUAUAAAACCAGCUAGCUAGCUAGCCGCCAGGCAAACCACCGAAACAGUCAGUCAGUUAGUUAGGCAAUGGAGCCACAGCUAACCAACGAACCAACCAAGCAACGAAACAACUAACCAAUCUAUAAAAUCAGCCAACUACCUAUACAAUACACAGCUAGUGUGUACCUAUACAACGGUGGAUACUUUGAAAACUCGCAUUACAGAUGCACUCAUACAGACAUAAAAAAUAUAUAUCCAUACAGUUAGAGAUAGAUGUAUGCAUACAGCCAGCCGAAAACCCGAUGUUUGCGCUUACUUAUAUAUAUGAAUGUAGAGUGCACUUGGACUCAUCGUAUAAGUCAUUAUAAGUAAAACGCUCUAUAAAGCGAACUUUAUACUGUGUAUAGGGAGACUAUACGUAGUUACAGAUGUCGCUGUGCGGCAAUUCGUGUAAAUAUCUCUGCAGAAUAUUGUAUUUCCAUGUGCUAUGUGUAACCAGCGAAUGUAUCUACUAUAUAGGUAUACAUAUAUGUACAUAUAAAUA